AAGAAAAAUUUGUUCAGCAUAUGAGUGGUAGAUACGACCAAAGCUACAUCUCUCAGCAAGUCAGUGCUCCAGCUUAAGCAACAAGAAAAAAAAAAGCUCUAUAUAGAACUGUGACAAACAUAGUUACUGCAUGGAACUAAGAAAAUGAUGUUUGUAGCGUGUAGAAGCUAGAAAAGAAAGAUGAAAUCAAUUUAAACUUUUUCAAAACCAAUAGCUAGACUGAGACUGUUCAGUCCUGAAUAUAUAUGUGUACAUAUGUGUAUGUACACAUAUAUACAAACAUUGGGUUCUCAUUUUGUUUUGGAAAGGUGAAGCUGGUCACCCCCAGAGUUAAUGGGAAAAUAUGUGGGAUUAGAAAUUGUGCCCCAGUAUUCUGGGACUCCUGCCCAAGCCACAGUGAUGGCUUUUCCCCUCUUAUGAUUGCUGCUGUACUGAAAUUUACCAUCAGUCAGCCAUAGAACAGAGCAACUCCCAAGGUUCCAGCUACUACAGUGACUCAUUUGGUGUGUCAUCAUUCCCUGGAGAAUGGAGGUACCACAUCAAAUCAUGGCCCAUCCUAAAGUCUAGUGCCACUGAAAUUUACAGCCACAGAACUGAAUUAAUCAAGAGGAACAACAACAACAAGAGUUCUCUUCCAAAAUGAUAGCUUUUUUGUAGCUCUGAAAUGAGAGGAACCCAAUCCAGAAGAAUCCACAGAAGGAGGAAAAGCCAGCAGAAAGGCAGCAGAUUAGACACAAAAUUGUAAUUGUUAGUACGCAACUGAUAAAUACAAAAGGGCGAAGAGAAUGUCAAUCCAGAAUGAUGCAAAUCCCUUCAUUAUUACUCUCGUUAAAGGACUGCUAAUGAUCAGCAAAUAGCCAAAGGCAGAGGAGUCAAUCCAAGAUCUCUUCGGUUCUUUCCUAAUCAGGUUCAUCUACGUUGCUGCAAACAACAGAAUCUCACUUUUUUAUGGAUGAAUAGUACUUCAUUGUAUGAUUUCAUGAAGAUUAAUUAGAUACGUCCAUAAAAACAGGACUUGGACUUAAAGUAUAAUAACAACAACAACAGGACUUGGAACAUAAUCUUCAGCAUGAUAUAAUGACAUGUUAUAAUUACGGAAGUGUUAAGGUACGGCUGGGCUGGCUCGUUGAGUGACUCCUAAUAUGCAGUUUAGCAAGUGUUAGAAAGACAGGGUUUCUCAGUUCUACAGAAAGUGGUCAGAAGGCUGACACAGUAACCUUUUGGGUAAGCUUUUGAACACUGGUGUACAACUUCUCUGAAAGCAGGGCGUUUGGUCCUCUGCCUUUCAGGAAUGUUCAUUUUCUAUGUCACUACUUGGCAGUCAUCUUCUUUAUGCAGCUAAACCGGGGACGGCCAACAUGCUAUGUAUCAGAUGGUAGGAAAGAAGUAUUCGGUCUUUGACCUUGAGGAAUCCUGUGGCAGGUGAAGAGAGAAAAACUGGAUGGCUCUGAAAGCUCAGUUCCAUCUUCUUAUAGAAGCUUAGCAAGAAUCCAGCUCAGUAGGUCUGAGUUAGCAUAAAAAAAGAACACAUGGUAUCUGGCUCAUUCUAGCAGUGGUGGCUAAGCUGGCCCCUUUUCUGGUCAGAAAGCUCUCCCUCAGUGGUACAGGAACUGAUCCUUCUGGAGCAUUAGGGUCCACUCCUUGGAUGGCUUGAGGAGGGAGGCCACACCUCAAUGAGUCUUCUGCUUGUGCAAUUCCCCCCAAGUCUUACUUCACAUGUAUACUGCAUGGCACCAUGGGAUGUGGGCCUGCCCUCCUUGACUCAACAAGCUGAAUUCGCUCACCAAAGAGAUAUCCUGGCAGUGCAAGCACACUAACCUUAAUUACUUAUAAACACAGACUAGAAGAAAGUCAGAAUCAAAGUCAAGUGGAAUUCAAAAUGUAGGCAUGACAAUAAAACAGCCCUGGAUUCUGAGGUCCAACAGGUGACAACAGGAAUGGCCCAAAAGUAUUUGUUUGGAGUUCAUCUCUACAUAUAAUUUGAUUUUCUGAAAAUCACUUUCUCCUGGAUUAGGCUGCAAUGAAAAUACCAAGGCAUGUGACAAGGACAGUGGCUACCCGAAUGGGCUUCUCAAAGGUGUGAAGUAACGAACUGAAUAACGCAAGUCCGAAAAUACCACUUAGGUCUCUAGAAAGUUGCAGUUUUAAGUAUUUUUAGUCCUGCAUUGCCCAGAUAAUUAGCCUUCUACCCAUUCUACGUGUUACAUAUGUAAGAAAACAAGCUCUUACGAUAGAGACCAUAAAUCUUGGGGGACAAGAUAAAGAAUAUGCUGAUUUCCACAUUUUCGUAAUGGUCUGCCUAGGGAAAUUUUCCCAAAUUAAUGAGUAUGUUCAUGGGCAAUAAAUUAAAUAAGACCACCCUGGUGGAUUCUUAAAAACGAACCUAUAAAUCAAAAGGAAAGUGAAUUUCACACAAGCACAAUUCAGAAUGUGAACAUUAGAAGACUUGGCUUUUGCU
rnacentral:lncRNA from 1 species